rnacentral:tRNA from 1 species
GGAUUGUGGCUCAGUGGUAGAGCGCUCGCCUAGUGCGUGCAGGACCCAGGUUCGAUUCUUAGCACCA